rnacentral:rRNA from 1 species
GGAUAACUGUGGUAAUUCUAGAGCUAAUACAUGCCUCGAGUUCCCAAAGUGCGAUCUAGAUUUGCCUUGUGCUGUCUUGGGUUGUCAUUAGUAGGACGCAAUUAUUAGAACCAAAAAUCGUACCGAGAAAUGUGUUUCGGCGCAUUUCUUACUCGGUGUCAAAAUUUGGUGAAUCUGGAUAAUCUUAACUGCAGAGCGCUUAAGGCCUUCGUGCCGGCGCCUGACCUUUGAAGAGUCUGCCCUAUCAGCUUGAUUGUAGAUUAAAUGUCUACAAUGGCAAUAACGGGUAACGGGGAAUCAGGGUUCGAUUCCGGAGAGGGAGCCUGAGAAACAGCUACCACAUCUAAGGAAGGCAGCAGGCACGCAAAUUGCUCAAUCUUAGCUCGAGGAAGCAGUGACAAAAUAUCUUGAUGCGGGACUCUUCCGAGGCCUCGCAAUCAGGAUGCGUUUACUUUAAAGCAGUAGACUGAACGCAAUUGGAGGGCAAGUCUGGUGCCAGCAGCCGCGGUAAUUCCAGCUCCAAUAGCGUAUAUUUAAGUUGCUGCGGUUAAAAAGCUCGUAGUUGGACUUUAUACUCAGGCAGCCAGCCCUCUGCAAUGUCUCUGAAAUCUUAAAAAAAAAUGGAGUAGCCAUUGGGGCCUCAUGGGUGUGUUGUGUGUGUAAAUUCCCUUUGGGUUGCUACUAAUCACUCUGCGCUGUGUUGUCUCUUAUAUUGGUCUCUGUUGGAUAUGGUUGAAAGGGAAAUUUUGUUAGAGGUUAUUACUGCGCUGUGACUGAGUGUAUAUGAGACCGUCGAUAUGUAUAACUUUUUAAUCUUGAUUUUUUUAAAAGCCUGACUGGUGCAAUUAAGUUUGUGUCCUUUCAUGGUUUUGAAUCGGGACUUUUAUAAAGUUUUAUCGACUCUAUCACUUUGAAAAAAUUAGAGUGCUCAAAGCAGGCCUCAUUGCAUAAUUGCCUGAAUGGUAGUGCAUGGAAUGAUGGAAGAUGAUCUCUACCUCGUUAAAUUACGAAAAAAAGUAAUGAUCUUUUUUUUCUUUGCGCCGAGUGGUCAGGUACAAGAAUAAGAUUCGAGGUUUGAGAUAAUGAUUAAAGGGAACUGCCGGGGGCGUUUGUAUUACGGCGCUAGAGGUGAAAUUCUUGGACCGUCGUAAGACAAACUACUGCGAAAGCAUUCGCCAAGAAUGUUUUCAUUAAUCAAGAACGAAAGUUAGAGUUUAGAAGGAGAUCAGAUACCUCCCUAUUUCUAACCGUAAACUAUGCUAACCGGUUGUCCGUCGGAAGUCAUUUCCGAGACUGGACGAGCGACCCCAGGGAAACCAGAGUUUCUGAGUUCCGGGGGAAGUAUGGUUGCAAAGCUGAAACUUAAAGGAAUUGACGGAAGGGCACCACCAGGAGUGGAGCCUGCGGCUUAAUUUGACUCAACACGGGAAAACUCACCAGGCCCAGAAACAUUUAGGAUUGACAGAUUGAAAGCUCUUUCAUGAUUAUGAGGAUGGUGGUGCAUGGCCGUUCUUAGUUGGUGGAGCGAUCUGUCUGGUUAAUUCCGAUAACGAACGAGAUUCUUAUUUGCUAAAUAGAAGGUAGAUCUGAUCCCGAAAGUUUUCCUUCUUCGGUCUGAUCUUUUUUAUUAAUCCAACUUUUGAGAGAUUUCUUUGUUUUGAGAGUUUUUAUGAGGUUGGUUGGAAGAGUUGUUUGUGUGUGGCGUGUGGGGUCACUCUUGGACUUGGGAAGGUUCGUUAACGCUGUUCUCUAAAAGCUGACUUUGUUCUGUGUAUAUCUCUCUUUUGAUCUUAACGGUGAUAAAUGGUAUACGGGGGCUUAGUUCGGUGUGAAUGGUGGUUGCGUGGCUUUUUCUUGUUUGGGUUUGUCCAAUUUCAACUGCGCGUUUCAUUACCAGGCUCAGAAGGCUGGCUUUGUUUGCUUUUGGGGCAGGAUUUUUUUUUUAAGGAGGAUGAAGAAGUUGACGAUUGGAAAUAUGGAGCUUAUGUCGGGUAGUCUAUCAUUUCCGUUUCUUCUUAGAAAAAUCAAUGGUGCUCUAAUCAGUUGACAGGAAGAGCAAUAACAGGUCUGUGAUGCCCUUAGAUGUUCUGGGCCGCACGCGCGCUACAAUGCACGGUGCAACACGUCCCCCUUCUCUCUAACAGAGUGGGUAACCGGUUGAAAUCCGGGCCUACUUGGGAUUGGGGCUUGCAAAUAUUUCCCAUGAACGAGGAAUUCCCAGUAAGCGUUGGCUCAUUUAAGUCGCGCUGAUUAAGUCCCUGCCCUUUGUACACACCGCCCGUCGCUACUACCGAUUGAAUGAUUCAGUGAGAACAUUGGACUGUCGUUCUAAUGAAAGAAUUUAUAUUCUUUUUUAAAGGACUGACGGAAAGAUGUUCAAACUUGAUCAUUUAGA